rnacentral:rRNA from 1 species
ACUACGGGUGGCAGCAGUGAGGAAUAUUGGUCCAUGGGCGGGAGCCUGAACCAGCCAAGUCGCGUGAGGGACGACGGUCCUAUGGAUUGUAAACCUCUUUUGUCGGGGAACAAAGGCGCCCACGGGUGGGCGGAUGAGUGUACCCGAAGAAAAAGCAUCGGCUAACUACGUGCCAGCAGCCGCGGUAAUACGGGGGAUGCGAUAGUUAUCCGGAUUUAUUGGGUUUAAAGGGUGCCUUGGCGGACAGUCAAGUCAGCGGUAAAGAUGCGGUGCUCAACGCCGUACAGCCGUUGAAACUGGCAGUCUUGAGUGGGCGAGAAGUGUGCGGAAUGCGUGGUGUAGCGGUGAAAUGCAUAGAUAUCACGCAGAACUCCGAUUGCGAAGGCAGCAUACCGGCGCCCGACUGACGCUGAGGCACGAAAGCGUGGGUAUCGAACAGGAUUAGAUACCCGUGUAAUC